UUUAAUUUCGGAUGGGUUUGGGGGAAAUUUGAGUUUGAUGAGAGGUGCAUUUAGGGCUCGUAUUUGUUUCUCUCUCCAAUUUCGAAUCUCCUUUCUCUCACUAAAACUCCCAAUUUCGCAUCUCUCUCUCUAGAAAAUCCGCCGGUCCCAAUCUCGUUUCUCACUUCCUCCAUAUCCCUCUGACUUUCUCUAAAUGAAAUUUCCCCAUGCUUCUUCUCUCCCAUCGUCUCUCUAUCUCAACUUUGCCUUCUUUCUCUCUCUACAAAAUCCCCCG
rnacentral:lncRNA from 1 species